GCCAAUAAACAGGUAUGUUUUAAGUUGCUAAUGUAUGAUCAUUUGUUACAUAACAAUAGAAAUCUGAUAUGGAACCCUUGGCAUUCAGGCAUGUGGAGGAGGUCAUCAACAGAAUGUGACUAUCUGGUGAUGCACAAGCUGGACCUAGGCAAUCAGAAGCUCCUCAUCAUCUCCCCUGUCCUGGGAAUGUACCUCUGACUUACUAUUCCCAGAGCCAGAGCCAUUUCAAGGAGGCAGCCUUGAGAGAUUAAUUAAUGUGUUGUCAGGAACAUCUGCACGGUGUAUGUAACUAAACCCCGUUUACAAACUUUUAAGAUGCUGGUGGGUGAAUGUGGAGAUGUACUCAUCUUGUGGAUCACCCAAGAUAAACCCCAUAUAAGUGGAGCUGUGAACAUUAGACGGCACCUGUACUACUGGUAUAUUGAGUUCUACUUCAUGAUGCCCACACCUAUUGGCCUGAGACUUCGUUUAUACAAAGUUCUGACAACAUUCUUGGAUACCUGGCAAGAAUAUCUGAAGAGUCCCUCUUUUUGUAGUAAGCACAUAUGCAUUUGCUCAGUUAUUCUUCUGGUCAAAUAAACAACUCAUCUAUU